AUAUAUAAACGAAACCAUUGAGCACUAGAUAGAAUUGGAGACGCAUUUAGCAGCCAUGGCGGAGGAGCGAGUGCGGCGCAUCCUCUCGCAUGCCGGGCGAUGGAGGAGGACGAGCUGCCAGGGCGGCGACGGCGAUAAUGCGUGUAGCAACAGUGAAAGCGAGGGAAUCGCUGGCGAAUCCUUCGACGCCACCGCCUCUUCCCUAAAUGCGGGUCAAUGGCGAGCCAGCAGCGAUGGGGGCUUAGGUGAGACUUUCCCCAGAAUGGCGCACCAAGCCCUUCCUCCUUCUCCUCCCAAUCCCUUGGAAGAUCGCCAGAAUUCUCCCAGCGCCGCCGCCGCCGAGUGGCCGGAGAAGGCAAAUUUCGGAGACUCCGGGCUGGCGAAAUCUAUCGCAAGCUCCAUCGCGUCUAGAAGCUGGGGAUCACCUCGGCAGCAGCAGCAGCGCGAUUGGCCGGUGGCCGACGAUUGCAUAUUUUGCAAGAUCGUCCACGGCUAUUCCCCGGCAUUCAAGCUCUACGAGGACGACUUUUGCGUGUGCAUUCUCGACAUAAAUCCACUGUGCUAUGGGCACUCUCUCCUCGUUCCCAAGGGUCAUUUCCCGGCACUGGAUGCUACUCCUCCAACGGUAGCGGCGGCCAUGUGUAGUGUCGUGCCUUUGCUAAGCAACGCGAUCAUGGGAGCGACUUCUUGUGCUUCCAGAUUCUUUCAAUAUGGUCGUCAACAAUGGUGAGGCUGCCGGCCAAGUCGUGUUUCAUACUCACUUCCACAUUGUCCCGAGGUUCUCCGGAGAUGGGCUAUGGACAAACGAGAGUGUGGUGCGCAGGCCACUGUCGACGUUCAAGGAUCCCACUCAGCUCACACUCGCUGUGCGAUCCAUCCUGAGGAACAACGAGUCGUGAAAGCUAAGAAUCUCUGGCAAGGUUUGUGUACUAUUCCUUCGUGAUACGCCCCUGGUCUAUACAGAAAUUCAUCGCAGAUUUGUAUUCUUGUUCCUCUCGUUUGUUGGCGCGUCUGUGUCGCAAAGCUUGGCUGUCUGCAUCGAGACUGAUUGAAGUAUCUCUUUCACUGCCACUGUUCGUUGAUCUUCUAGCGUGCUUAAGUUUCCAGCUAUGGCCAUUCUCUUUUAUUCUUGUUCCUUACAGGCGAAGGACGAAGGUUUGUCUUGGUCGAGACUGGACUGCCUGUUCUUUGUUUUUCUCCCCCUCGUUUUGUUCUUCUGGAUGGCUGGAGCUGUAAAGUUUUGGAAAAACACUUGGCAAGCACUUGAAAAUCGUGGUCAAAAUAAAUAAAGAGAUGGCAGCUUUUAUGUUGGCAA